UUACUCUUUUGUCAGGAGAACAAGCUUUUCUCCAGAACUGCAGAUCGAAUAGAAGAAGCUGAAGAACGUAGCUGAGUUGAAGAACUGAUCAAGAUCUGAGCUGAAUCUUCUCUUCUCCAGAACAUGAUUUUCUCGAAGGGCUGAAAAUAUGAAUCUAAAGAAAUAAGUAUUGAAGAAUUGAGGAUCGAAGAACUGAUGAUCAAAGAAGUGAAGAACGGAAGCUGAAGAACAAAAGAGCUUAGCGGAAGAUUUCUCCGAUACCAAUUUAAUCAAGUGUAGGAAUUGAUUAGUUCUGGGGUUCGUACACUUGAAAUUCCAAAGUAUUGGCCGAAAUCUGAACGUCAAAGUUAGCCCUAGGAAUCUUGAGCAGAAGAAAAAGUGGGAAUUACUACUGGAAGCAUUUGAGUCUGUACUACUGUGAAGGGACAACAACAAGAACUUACAAAAGUUACCAUACCUUGUAGUCGUGAAAAGGGAGUGAGAAAUCAGAAAUCCAUGUCUCUCGACAAAGUAUUGGAAAGUUAAUACUUCAUAAUAUCCAUGUGCUAAGAAAGUUAAGCAACAUCCAUAAGGAUAAAACAAGUUCUUUGGUGAAGGGACGAGGAGCUGAACAUAAGAACUCCACCAUUUCUUCUAGUCAAGUUGAUACUCCCAUUUGUUCAUUUACUAAUCAAGUAAAGCAAUGCACCCAAGAAGUUGAAACAAAUGCAAUAGGAAACGGACAAGAGCAAACAUAUGGAUCUUUCUGCUCAUCUUUAGGGGAUUCUGAAAAUAAUGUGGAAUCUAGUCAACAAUUUACAUCAUUAACAAGAAUACUCUCGUCCUUGAGAAGAGAACACACAAACAAAAUUCCCUUGUUAUUCUCAUCAAGUUAUGCAAGCCUCCCAAUCAACUAAAAAAGCUUUUUCUUAUUCUGGAUAUACCUUGGUGGAUUUUAGAGUUCUUGUGUGAAUAAUGAAGCUCAAGUUAAGCUUGAAUAAUGAAGCUCAAGUUAAGCGGCAAGUUUAGAAGAUACACACAACCAUAAUUAUUAGAGAUUUUUAAGCAAUCACUUUCUAUGUAUUGGUUGCACAAUAAAUGUUUCUCGAAAUUUAUAUGAAAUAUAUAGUUUCAAUUUAAUUAUUAGAUAAUUUUGUGA